rnacentral:rRNA from 1 species
UACGUAGGCAGCGAGCGUUGUUCGGAAUUACUGGGCUUAAAGAGUUCGUAGGCGGCAUGAAAAGCAGGGUGUGAAAGCCCUCGGCUCAACCGAGGAAUUGCGCUCUGAACUGUCGUGCUUGAGGAACCUAGAGGUGAGCAGAACUGAUGGUGGAGCGGUGAAAUGCGUUGAUAUCAUCAGGAAUACCGGAGGCGAAGGCGGCUCACUGGGGGUUUUCUGACGCUGAGGAACGAAAGCCAGGGGAGCGAACGGG